ensembl:lncRNA
CUCACGUACCUCCAGGCUGAUAUUUUUCCUAACUUUAGCCCUAGGAGGCUGUUUCCUUAACUCUGCUGAACAAAUUACCUUUGAACCGUCACAGCUGAUUUGUCUUACUUCACCUCAGGUGCUCCAAGCUAACUGAAUUAAAAGGAUGGCAUGUAGAGGGCCCUAGGCACCACAUUAGUCAUCAGGAACAGUCAUAAAAGCUCUUUUCCUCUUUCUCUUCUCACUGGCUAUUCCUUCACUUGUUUCAGCAGACAUUAGUAUCGUAAGUAUGAGAGUAUUAUCUCCAUAGCUGUGACCUAUGCUCCUUCCCACUGGGAGAGGUAGCCCUGCCUGACAGUUGGAGUCUCUCAGAAGGUUUAAGUGGGCUUUGACCUCCUUCAGCAGCAAGGAGAGGGAAGGUGCCUUCAGCAGACAGCUGUGUGGUAGAGGACCUUCAGGGACAAGUCCAGCACCGACAUCCCUUGUAGUGUCUUGGUGGUAUGUGGAGAUGUUUAAAUCCUCGUGUGGUUAUCUGGUUAUCUAGGUUGAUAUUCUUGCAGCACAUCGGUCUUGCCUCUAAACUGUGUGACUUUGUAUGAGAACGUUCAGCUAGACUGAUGCUUCUGUAAACCGUUCCCCAAGACCUGCUUAGAGAAAAGAUUUGGACAGGAUGAUAUGGCAACUCCUCAGAACAUGAGUGCAGAUUAGACAGCACAGUCGUAGGUAUCAGCGCUGUUAACUGUACAGCUAACCAAUAUCCCCUGAGCUUAGCCUGAAGGGGAAGGGGAGGACAGCAUUUAAGUAAGCACAGGGAAUGGGAGAAGGUAAAGAGCAGGAAGAACCCAUCUGUCUCUGCCACGUGAUGAGUCCCACAACACUUCCCUGCUGUGUCCGUAGGCUGCUCUGCCAAGUAAAUGGAGAACCUUAUGCUAUUUCCAGCGCCUUGCUGGGAAAAGGAGAGGACAUUUGAGAUCAAUAACAGAGCUUUGGCUAGGUUUUGCUGAGUGACUGCUGGUAUGUGCCAUGCAGCUCAUUGGCAAUAUCUGGGAAUGAUACCAAAUGAGCUCUGCUCACUGGGAAUUGCCUUCACUGGUCUGGAGCUGGUUGCAGAGCAUCCUACGUGAGGUUUGCUUUCAUCUCCUAACAUGAGUGACUGAAUGUAGCAGAUGCAAAACUUUAAUAUUCCUGUUGGAAUGUGAAAUCCCAGGGAAUCCUGCACAGUGUUGGUGUAAAGAUUCUCCUCAGUCUUGAUAUUUUUCCUGUCUCUAUUCAUCUGUUAUGAGAAGAGCACCAUGCUCCUCUUGUCUCAGACUGCAUAUAAGUCUCCUCAGCCAAACCAGUUUCAUUAGGAUCCUGUCCUACACAUGCCACAUCUGACUGCAAAAGCACCUGAAAGGUUCUCCAUGCUUGAAAGUACCAUGUUUGAAAGUGCAUGACAUGCAAUCUUUCAGUGUCUUCCCCUUGCCUUAUGGAAGUUGCAGGAUGUUUAGGCUUGCCUCUGUAGAUAGUUGCUUUCAGCUACUCAUUCCCCAGCAUUUUAAACACUGAAUUUCUGGGCUGUUGGACUGUAGUAUUCCAGAAGCAGAAACAGUGAUAGAAAUUGAGGAAUGUUUUGCUCCUUCUUAAGCUCCUUGGACACCAAAACCAGAUUAAAUCUCAAGAUGAACUAUGGAGAAUUGUAAACCACAGUAAAUCACAUUUAACCCUAAUUCAGGUCACCACAGGGUGAACUUCUCUGCUUAGCUACCCCUGAAGGUUGCCUCCUGUCUUCCACCAAUGCCAGGGCUCAGUUCUUCAAACUAGUUCACUUCAGGAGGGCAUGGACGAGGCUGCUCGAAGUCUGAGUCUUUCCACUCUACACAAUUUCCCAAUACUAUCUCAAAAGGUUUUAUAGUCUCAGAUAUGACAUACAUGUAUGCAGCUUCAUAUUACAAAGACCCCACUUUGGCAAGCUGCAGAACAAGUUAUACAACACUUCCAACAGCUUAAACUGACAAAAAGCUCAUGAAAAUAAGUAUGUUCCUUUGGGUUAUGUAGGCAUAUAGGAGGAAAGAAGUCCCAGAGACCCAGAGCAUGAGUCUGUCUGUGCUUAUCACUUGGCCUCAGCAGCUCAUCUCACUUCUAUAUAGUAGUAUAGCCACAGGAUCUAAGUAACUUCCUCCAGUCCUAUCACAGUUAGGUUUACAAUAACAUAAUCAAACUAUUCUUCAUAAAGCUCAGGUUUCAGAAAUCAUUCUUAAAUUCAGCCAUCUUCAUAGGCACACUUUCAAACUCCUGGAAGAAAAAGGUUUAGGAAUUCUGUAGAAUAAUUUCAUGUUUGUUUAGUUCCAUAUCUUGGAUCAAUAAAUACAGUCAAGGCCAAAGAACACAUGUAUAGAGGUGAAGCUCUUUAUUUCUUCUAGUUUCUCUUUUAUUUGAAGGGGCUGGAGGCUGGGUUUUAUCUUUCUUGAAAAGACGUAAUGUGGCAUUCAUAUGGCUCUGAUACACAUGCAGUGUUAGGAACUACCAGAAAGAUCAAAUUUACUAGACGUUUCAAGAGCUCUUCAAAUGAAAUAAUAAAUAGAAUAUCAUUGACCCAGCACUCUAUAUAUUGUGAAUGUACAGCAGACUGAAUUCCAUGAAAUUAAUUCCUGAGAGUAGAACCAAAAGCAUUUGGUCAAACACCUAUUUACCUCAUGGAAACGUUAGGAAAAAAAUGGUGUUAUGGAGAAGAUGUCGGAUUGAUUGCAUGAAAUGUCCAUAUCCAAUACUAAAAAUCUACUCUGUUAAAUGGACGCCAUCUGUGGAUUUUGGCAUUUGGCAAUAUAAACAGCUUUUGAUAUAUUUGGAGUCAGAAACAAAAUUUAAAACUGCAAAGCUUCCAGUAAACACAAAGAAGAAUAAAAAAGAGCAUGAAUUCGCAUGCUUCAGCAUCUCAUAUUUCACAGUGGAUUAAGGGAAGAAAUGGAAGAAAGAAGCGCAGUGCCGGAAGAGAUGGCUGUGAUAAGCAUUUGGCCUACCACAGGUUUGCCUAAGUCUGAGCUAUCUCUAUUACAGCUGUACAGUAGCAUUGCAACAUUAAAAAAAAA